AACGCACAUUGCGCCCGUCAGUAUUCUGAUGGGCAUGCCUGUUCGAGCGUCAUUUCAACCAUCAAGCCCUAGGCUUGUGUUGGGGCACUGCGGCUGCCGCAGGCCCCUAAAAGCAGUGGCGGACUCGCUGUCAUACCGAGCGCAGUAGCACAUCUCGCUCAGGGCGUGGCAGCGGGCACUGGCCGUAAAACAACUAAAACUUAAGGUUGACCUCGGAUCAGGUAGGAAUACCCGCUGAACUUAA
rnacentral:misc_RNA from 1 species